UGGGGAAUAUUGGGCAAUGGGCGCAAGCCUGACCCAGCCAUGCCGCGUGAGUGAUGAAGGCCUUCGGGUCGUAAAGCUCUGUGGAGAGGGAAGAACAUCGACGUGGCUAACAUCCACGGCGACUGACGGUACCUCUUUAGCAAGCACCGGCUAACUUCGUGCCAGCAGCCGCGGUAAUACGAGGGGUGCAAACGUUGCUCGGAAUCAUUGGGCGUAAAGCGCGCGUAGGCGGCUUGUUAAGUUGGGUGUGAAAGCCCUGGGCUCAACCCAGGAAGUGCACUCAAAACUGGCAAGCUUGAAUCUGGAAGAGGGUCGCGGAAUUCCCGGUGUAGAGGUGAAAUUCGUAGAUAUCGGGAGGAACACCAGUGGCGAAAGCGGCGACCUGGGCCAAGAUUGACGCUGAGGCGCGAAAGCGUGGGGAGCAAACAGG
rnacentral:rRNA from 1 species